GUCAACAUGAGAGCUUGGUUGGGUGAUUGGGGCAGGACUGACAUGUGAUUUAUGAUUACUCCUUGAAUCGGCAGGUUACCUAUCCAAAUAGGCCAUAGGGACCUCCACAAAUGAUACAAAUGAAAUACAAUUCCCUUUGCCUUUCAAACACAAGUCCAGCAUUUUCAAAGCCCAUUUCUACUGGCACGUUAUAGGACCCCACAAAGAGAGCUUCUACCUCAAGAAGUCUGAUGUCUGCAUAGGGGAGACAUGCAUACCAAUAAAAAGCUCUGGACAGAACCUGUUAUAAAGAUAUAAAAUGUGCCCAAGAGCAUGAAGAAAGCAUCAUUCUCACCUUCACAGUGUAGUAGUCCAAGUGGUCUACUAGGGAGACAAAUAUUUCUGCACGAGUGAUAGUCCCCACCAGACUCUAAACAGCUUUGUGGCAUUGCCCUUCAUACUUUCUCUCAGAAAAGAGAAAUAAAAGGCUUCCCAG
rnacentral:lncRNA from 1 species